UGGUGUUAGGGAAUUUGCACGUGGCAAAGUCGAUAGGGGUGUUUGGAAUCGAUGAAGUUUCGGUUGAACCAGAGGUAAAAUAGAAAUUUACUAUAAAACUCCAAUAGUAGCUACAAAUGAUUUUUUAAAAUUUAUUUGUAUAAUCUAUGAUAAAUAUAGAGAACUAGUUACACCAGGUGAUUUUUCCUAUUUUAUGGAGUAACAUAAAACAUAACAAAAGAUGUACUCCAUUUGAAAUGGAUAAAGAUAAAAAAGGGAACCGCCCCAGGCAUAAAAAGUUAAAAAGGAGGAAGAGUGAGGAAUUCCCAAGCCAUACAGUAGUGUUUAUAUAUACGGGAGGCAAGUCGAGAGCGUUUGGAUGAUCAACAGUGGACAUGGCCCAAGCUUCAACUCCGCAACCUUCUUGGUUCACUCCCAAAAGGUUACUAGCCAUAUUCUGUAUAAUCAACUUGUUAAAUUAUGUGGAUCGAGGAGCUAUAGCGAGCAACGGUGUUAAUGGGAAACGCAGUGAGUGUACUAAGAGCGGUACAUGCUCUUCUGCCAGUGGAAUCCAGGGUGAUUUUAAUUUGAGCAAUUUCCAGGAUGGUGUCAUAUCAUCUGCUUUCAUGGUUGGGCUUCUUUUGGCAUCUCCAAUAUUUGCUUCCUUAGCCAAGAGUGUUAAUCCAUUUAGACUUAUUGGAGUUGGACUGACAGUCUGGACCUUUGCUACUGCUGGUUGUGGCCUGUCAAUUGAUUUCUGGUCCAUUACCAUCUGCAGAAUGCUGGUGGGUGUUGGCGAGGCAUCUUUUAUAAGCCUUGCUGCUCCAUUCAUUGAUGACAAUGCCCCAGUUGAUCAGAAAACAGCAUGGCUGGGAAUAUUUUACAUGUGUAUACCAACUGGGAUUGCUGUUGGUUAUGUAUAUGGCGGAUUGGUUGGAAGUCUUCUUAAUUGGCGUUGGGCGUUCUGGAUAGAGGCAUUGCUGAUGCUUCCUUUUGCAAUUUUGGGUUUUGUGGUGAAACCGUUGCAAUUGAAAGGGUUUUCGCACACCGGACCAAAAAGACCAUUGACUUCUGUGCAGACUUCUUGCCCAGAAGCAGUUGCUUCACCUAGUCAAGAUGGUUCAUUCCAAACAAGGAAUGUUUCCAAGGAUGAUUCAAAAGGUGCACCCAGAAUUUUGAAUCAGUUGACAAGAUUUUGGAAGGAUAUGAAGGUGCUUUUGCUUGAAAAGGUCUACGUCGUGAAUGUUCUAGGAUACAUAGCAUAUAAUUUUGUCAUUGGUGCUUACUCGUAUUGGGGACCAAAGGCUGGUUACUACAUAUACCACAUGAACAAUGCAGAUCUGAUGUUUGGAGGUAUUACUAUCGUAUGUGGAAUAGUUGGAACCUUAGCAGGAGGUUUUGUUCUGGAUCUAAUGACUUCCACGAUAUCCAAUGCUUUUAAGCUUCUUUCAGUGGCAACAUUUUUUGGAGCAAUAUUUUGCUUUGCGGCCUUUUGUUUUAAGAGCUUGUAUGGCUUCAUCGCUCUUUUUGCAAUAGGAGAAUUGCUUGUAUUUGCAACACAGGGCCCAGUAAAUUAUGUCUGUCUGCAUUCCGUCAAACCAAGUUUGAGACCGUUGUCUAUGGCUAUGUCCACUGUUUCAAUUCACAUAUUCGGUGAUGUGCCUUCCUCUCCUCUUGUGGGGGUUCUCCAGAUGGCAACAGGCAUUGUGUUCGAUAUCUGUUUGUUGUCCUUCCCUAUCUCUUUCAAGUACCAAUAUUUGGGAGCUCAGUAGUUGUCCUAGGUAUUGCCCAGCAAACCCCUCCAAUAUUCAGAAUGAUAUGCCAGACGUGCGAGGUGAAAGUGCAGUGAAUGAAAAGAUGAUUGAUCCCCCUUUUCUGAAGGUUGUCCUGAGUAAGCACGCUCCGUGUGCCACCAACCAUAUGAAACAAUCCACCUUCAGGGGUGCUUUGUUUUUUCAGAUGGUUUUCGACAGCCAGUUAGAAAAGCUACCAGUUGGAUUCCUUAAUUGCUGGAUCACAUUAAUAACUGGAGAGUUACUGCUUUAAUCCUGACAUCGAUUUUGUUUCUGGCCUCUGGAAUAUGGGUUGUAG